AGGACGAACGCUGGCGGCGUGCUUAACACAUGCAAGUCGAGCGGAAAGGCCACUUCGGUGGUACUCGAGCGGCGAACGGGUGAGUAACACGUGAGUAAUCUGCCCCUGGCUUUGGGAUAGCCACCGGAAACGGUGAUUAAUACCGGAUACGACCGCUCCUCGCAUGAGGUGGUGGUGGAAAGUUUUUCGGCCAGGGAUGUGCUCGCGGCCUAUCAGCUUGAUGGUGAGGUAAUGGCUCACCAUGGCUUCGACGGGUAGCCGGCCUGAGAGGGUGACCGGUCACACUGGGACUGAGACACGGCCCAGACUCCUACGGGAGCAGCAGUGGGGAAUA
rnacentral:rRNA from 1 species